AUGGCCGGCCCAUUGUCAUUUACUAAAGAAAAUAUCACAUCACUUGAUGAAGAUGAUUCUGAUUUGGAGAGGAGCCAGCAAACUGCAAAGGCAGUGAUUAAGUUCGCUGCAACAGCUGAUCUGCACCGUCUUGAGCAAAUUUUAGCCGGAGGAGGCACUCACCGUUUGGUUGAUCCUUUGUCUUGCCUAACCUGGAGAGGAUACGAUCCUUUGGUGAAGGAUUAG
rnacentral:rRNA from 1 species